rnacentral:rRNA from 1 species
AUGGAUCAGUGUGCGUCCAGGGUGCUGCCGAUCAUCGACGAGGGGUCGGAGUCGGAGUCGGAGACGGGGUCGGCGGAGGGUGUGGCGCCGGAGACGACGACGAGGAAGGCCGCGGCGGCGAGGGCCAUAGCCGAGCGCAGGAAGGCGAUCGUGGCCAGGAUGAGGGAGCUGCUCCGGCGCGCCGUCGUGCAGUCGUCGUCGGCGGCAGCGACUCAGUCCAAGCUGCGCUCCUCCACCGUGGCCACCGCCAAGAAAUGGAAGAGGGUGGUGACCUUCAAGAGUAGAGAUCGCCGGCGUUCGGUCGUCCACGGCGGCGGCCUCGACGGCAUGAGCUCCGCGUCGUCGGUGUCCAGCGCCAGCAGGAACAGCCUGAGCAGCCGGGACGCCACAUUCCCGCGCUCCCCUCCGCCGCCGUUCGCCGCCGCCAACAAGAUAUGCUUCGAAGAAAUCAUGGCGAUGGAGCAUGAGGCUCACUGGAUCACCACGGAUUCCGACUUCGUCGUGCUGGAGCUCUAG